GAUGAACGCUGGCGGCGUGCUUAACACAUGCAAGUCGAACGGAAAGGCUCCUGCUUGCAGGGGUACUCGAGUGGCGAACGGGUGAGUAACACGUGGGUGAUCUGCCCUUCACUUCGGGAUAAGCCUGGGAAACUGGGUCUAAUACCGGAUAGGACGAUGGUUUGGAUGCCAUUGUGGAAAGUUUUUCGGUGUGGGAUGAGCUCGCGGCCUAUCAGCUUGUUGGUGGGGUAAUGGCCUACCAAGGCGUCGACGGGUAGCCGGCCUGAGAGGGUGUACGGCCACAUUGGGACUGAGAUACGGCCCAGACUCCUACGGGAGGCAGCAGUGGGGAAUAUUGCACAAUGGGCGCAAGCCUGAUGCAGCGACGCCGCGUGGGGGAUGACGGCCUUCGGGUUGUAAACUGCUUUCGCUAGGGACGAAGCGCAAGUGACGGUACCUGGAGAAGAAGCACCGGCUAACUACGUG
rnacentral:rRNA from 1 species